rnacentral:lncRNA from 1 species
CUAAGCAGAUAGUCAUGGUCCUUUUAAAGUUUUAAGUAAUUGAGUAAGUUGCAUGCCUCCUGCCACAUAUAUAGGAUGCCAUUCUUUGGGACCAAAACCCCUCUCUCUUUUUGGUACGGAUAACAUUAAUAUCCAAUAGACAUUUACAUUGAUGCAUUUUAUUUAUAGACCACUACUCAAAUUACAUUUUCUACUUUAGUUCUUGUACUUUCUCCUCUUUUAUUUUCCUUU